rnacentral:lncRNA from 1 species
AUUUGCUCAAGGGGAGGCCAGGACAAGAAAUAAUGAAGAGUCCGAUGUGGCAGGAAUGUAGGAAACAAGUCAAUGAUGGAAGAUAAAUAUGGAGACGUGAUGAAGGCAAAAUUCUGAAGGGUCUUAGAGCCCAUUAUAAGACGUUUGGUUUUUAUGAAUAUUUCACUGAUUGCCUUGCCCGCUUCUCAAAGGCCCACUUCUCUGUGGAAUGAUGCAGUUGCUAAGAAGAGCUGUUAAUGUCAUGACCUCAAUGAAUAAAAAAGACUUCCUUUUCUCCAUGCCCACUCAAGUAAAAGGCUUCUCUCUGAACUCCUGCUAAUUUUUCAUCAGCAAAGGUGCACAGCCUUUUGGAAGUGAAAUGAUUACUAGUGAAGAAAAAGAAAGAACCUAACACUUAUUUUACAAGCCUCCCAGUGACCACUCUUCAGACAAAACUUCUUAUAAUAGCUUCCUUCCCUGAAUCUUUUGCGAAACAUCAAAUCACAAAGAGAUCUUAUUUCUGGCAAGGAAGACUCAUAUAUGACUCCUGGUACAUGGGUACAAGGAUUCUAUAGGCUAUAUACCUAAUCGUGGAAUUGUUGAGUCUCAGAGUAUUCAAAUGUUCAACUUGACACAUUAUCAUGAAACUGUUCUCCAGAGUGGCUUUCCAAUUUACUCUUCCACCAAAAAUGUGUUCCUAUUGAUCUACAUCUUCUCUAGAAC